GACGCCUGAGUGUGUGAAUAUCAAUGCCACAUUUCGAUAGUUAAGAUCUAAGCGCAGAAAAAUGCAUUAGCAUCAGGACAAUGCCAUAUUGAUGAGAUUAGCCGAUUGCGGGCUGCAUCUGUUAAAUCAGCCCCUAGCAGAGGACUAACCAUCAUGUAAACUCGGGGACCAUCUAAGUCCUGUUGACAAACACUGGCUUCCAUUUUUUUUUUCUCCUAAUUGCCUUGAUGACUCAAAUCUUUGUUGCAUUACAAUUUCCACGUCUUCACGUGAAACUGGAAUAAGUAAGGAUCAUUUUUGCUGAUGGUGUGGGAUAAGACACAGAUUACUUAUUUACUGUGGUAUAAAAUUAAGGCCCUCAAUCAUUCUGGGCUCCAAUUCCAGGUCCUGGUCAAAUUCGUUUGCUCUCUUCAUUCCACUCAAUAAAGAAAAAAGGAAUUUGAUUGAAUUGACCGCUUGUUGGCUUUGCUUCACAAAGAAGACGUAACAACUAUCAGGCAUGAUUGUAAGGGAGAUGGAUGCAACUAGCUUACAUAGAGUUAAACGUGCAAACAAGCGUUCAUCAUCUAUCAGCAUCCACAUAUUCCUCGAUGGUUACAGAAAAGGUUCAAGUCUGCGAGAGAAAUUGUUUAUUUAGGAUACGGGACACAAACGGUUGCAGGUGCAACCGUUUGUGCCGGUUGUCCUCAUUUUACACUGUGCGUAACAUUGAUUAAACACGAUGUAACUUUUUUUUCACAUGAUGUAUUUUCAGAACAGAUAGUGGUGGGCCCAUACUUGGCGCGGAAAUCGAGUUACAUGGUGUAAUCUCAGCCGCACAAAAUUUUGAGGCCAAAUCUUGGCCCUUAACCGUGCAGGGACGGUCAUACUGAUGACCGUCCCUGCCCCAAAUCCGUUUAUUGUUGAGGGAUGCAGAACUUUCUUAAAUAACAUAACUAGUGCAUUUGAUAAAAUUGGAAUCCGAAAACUUAAAUUUGAAGUUUGAUUCUAUUAAGUUAUUGAAUUGGUAAGUAAUAUAUCAGAUAUAUUUAAGUGCGUAUCACAUUAAUUGAUAAGUGAAUAACUCAUUAUUUAUUUUUAGAACAAGUUUUGUCUAGAAAAUUCAAUACCACUUAAUUAAUUUAUAUGUUCAAUUUUUUGUUAUCAAAUAUAUAUAAACAUGUUAAGAUCUGAAUUCAUUAAGUUUAAGUGUUGAAUCGAGUUAUCAAACAGGACCCAAGACUAACAACAAGAUGGUGAAACAAGCUGCUCAUUCUACCCGUCGGAUAACAAACAAAACGAACAAAUAUUAUUCAGCCAAAUAGGUAUCUACUAUCACUUAAUAUUGAGCUACAUAAUUGGAGUUCCCGCAAACAUCAAAACUUCUGAAAAAAAACAUCGUUUAAAAGUAUCCACUGGAUCCAACCUAUGAUCAUUCUAUUACUAAUUUGCAGAUACAUUGUCAACUGAAUGAAGUCCAUGUCCUUUUAGGUUCAGGAGGGUCAAUGACGACAACUCCACCAUCUGUUAGUCCCAGUGCAAAUUGGUUUGGCUUUUGUGGAUGAGCGGCAACAACAGUUGGAUGCACACAACAACUGCAUCCACAAAUUAGAUUGGAGAAGUAUUAAGUUGUUGUACAAUAUUGAGACUUGAAGGUGGAGACUUUUAGCACCACAUGCACAGGAAUUUAAAUGCAUUGUCAUAUUCAUGUCAUUUGAUGAAUACAAAAUAUAUGCAAACUACGUAAAGGAAUCAUGAAAACUCGGUUUACAGGAUUCCUAGGAUGAUUAAAGUGAUAGAUGCAGCCAUGUCUUGGAUAUCUAAUUACACCAUGCACUAUUGCAGCUUUCUUGAGCAUUCACAUGGUAACUGGUGCUAGCGAUGAAUUGAAUUAGUAUUCAUUAAAGCAAUGAAAAUUGAUAGAUGGCAAAGUUAGCUUAACCUGUAAACUCUGACAAACUUAAAGCAGUGAAUACUUGAGAUUUGAGCAAUGAGCAAAAGAAGUAAUGCAGUCAAAGUAAUCUCAAUGAGAAAGCUGUGAUCUAGUUAGUUGUUCAAUUCAGCUAUAGGUACCUGAGCGUAGGUGGAAGGUAAACAGAGGGAUCAAGCUCAAAUCUUGGACUGAGGUCGGAAGCUGCCAGUAUCAUAACAAUUCCAUCUCUCAUGACCACAUAUACAAGCUGGUCAUCACAUGACAGUGUUGCAUAUGAAAUCCGUGCACAAAAAUCACCAAUCAUCCACUGUAGCAUAUAAUGAGAAAUCAUAUUAACAAGUUAAAACAAGAAAAGAAUCAUUAGUAUUUAAUUUUUCCACUUGGCAGGGGGAGGGUGAAAUGCCUGGUUCACACGUCGCAGACUUGUUGUUUCGUAGAUUGCAAGUUGUGUCUCAUGGACAGCAAGAAAGUGUUUUUGAUCCUGGUGAAAUUGGACAGCAGUCUCUGAAGUUUUUGAUGGCGACCACCCAUUAGAAAUCUGCAGUGAUGUGCUUUGUUUUUUCUCCCAUGUAUUAAAAUCCCAUACAAUGAUCUGGAAGAACAAGGUAAGGAUACGCAAAUAUGAGUUGAUGUGUAAAGGAACUUUGCAGAACAAUUGCUUCGGGAAAUUAUCAUCAAUGAGAGGUAGAUUACAGCUUUAAAGAAGUGAGCAGACUAAGGUACUCAGUUUAUUAUCCUCAUGCCAGCCUAUCCUACCUUUUGAUUCUUGACUCAAUUGUAAUUCUGACACCAGAUACCCUGGAAGAUACCAGAUUUAUUUUCAGAAGCAAGGAAGUCUCUUUGCUCUGUUCUUUCAAGUGAUCAUGUAUGAGAGCAGCAUUAUUUGAGCUAAUUACAUUGAACACUUCUUAGAUGCUUGUGCAUCUCAAUAGAGGGUUGCUGGCUUAAGAGAAUAAAAUCCAGAUGGAUUAAUAGGAAAAUCUUGAGCUUAAAGGAGUGGAUAAUUUGUAUAAAUUGGCUAUUAAAGAGAUCUAUCACAUAAAUAUUUCACAGGAUGUGGGGUGACAUCUCAGUUAUGUCAAACUGACCUGGGUAUCUACUCCAGAAGAGACCAGUACUUUCAAUGUAGUGGAGAAGGCUAACCCAGUAAUCCUUUUAGAGUGUCCAUUAAGCUUGUUUAUGGCCUGCAAAGGGAAAAACAAUUUGACCACAUAUACUAAUUUUCAGUUGAAAAAUCUUCCCAUGGAUGAACUGAAUGAUAUACCUCAUUCCGACGCAAAUUGUAGAUCACUAUGGUUGAAUCAUCCAUGCCAAUAGCUGCUAUGUUGUUAUCUGGCGGAUAGAAAGCCAUACAGGAAGCCGCAGGUGGAGACCGCAGGCAACUUCUCAUUCUCUGCAAUUAUAUUUAGAAAAAUUCAGACUAAGAUGUUGUAAUCAUUAGAAAUGGUGCAAUAGCCAAUAGCCAAUAGCCAAAAGUAUACUGGAAUUCCUCCAAGGAUUUAUUUCUGCAAACAAUCAAGAAUGUGGCAUCAUUCAAAUUUAUUUAUAGCUGCCAUUUAGACCCUAGAUUAUUGAUAAAGAAGCUCUCAUAUUUUCUCGAGUUAUUAGUAAUUAGUCUAGAGUUUAAACUACAAAAAUCUUGAGCAUUUCCUAAAGCAGCUAAGUUCAAUGGUUACCUUAAAUGUCAUUGUGUUGAACAAAGACACCAUUUUUCCUGAUGCUGAUAGGAGAUAAGAGUCAUUCUUGGAUAAUGCAAAGCAGGGUGAUAUCGAUUCAAAGUUAUUGUCAGCAAGGUCAUUGAUCAUUAGGAAUGCUUUCCUUGGUUGCAAUGAUUGAGGGGCAUGAUUUGUGGUUGCCUGAAGCAAUGAACACAUUUCUUAAUAAAAGAACAUGUAACAGUUGAUCUUUGGCAAAUUUUAUUCCUCACUGUCUUAAGGGUAAGCAAGGGUAGUAUCAUGACCUCAAAGCAAGCAAUUAUAAUUUCUUGUGGAGUUAAGUAAGAAUCAGAUAGAGAUGCUGAAUAUAAAGAAGCCAUUACGCAUCUAAUUACCUACCUGGAAGAAGUUAAAUUCAUUUUCCAACCAUCUCCAGAGAAGAUGAAUGCCAUCUGCUGCUAAAGCCAAUAUUCCAUUACAUGCAUUUGUAUAUGCUAACCUGCAUAUCUGCAAGUGUUGUAUGGGAAGCUAAUCGUUAACUUUUGGGGCUUCGACUCUUCAAGAAGAAAAAGGAAAACAGGAAAUGCAAAAAUCCUAAAUUUAAAGGAAUUAUACCAAGGGAAAAUACUGUGGUGAAUAAAACCAAAUACACAUAAUAUUUGUGUAGAUAAUAAUUCCCAUUUUUACACAUUGUCAAAUCAUACGGGAGCCACAAUGCAGCAGUGCUGCAUGUUUUGCAGUUGAAAUUGACUCAAUUCAGUUAUAUCUCAUCAUAGCUCCAUGUAGUGAAUCUGCCAGAGCACAAUUCAAAGUCUGAAUUGGAAAAGAACAAAUUUAAGAUUGUACAAAAUUUUGACCUUUCAAUUAUCUGUGGAAUAAAAGUAAUCAAGGAAGGCAAGAUUUUUUUUGAUGCACGAACUUCUAAAACUACAAAUUUUAUGGGACAUUGGAUGCACCGUUUCAGUUAGCACUAAGGGUGGAGCGGAGCGGAGUAAUGCAUAUUCUGGAAUAAGUAUUGAUUUUGAAUGACACUCGCAAAACUUCUUUCUGAUUUUGCCAUGUCAUAAUGAUUACAGAAGGCAUUGCCCAGUAUGGCACUCUUGAACCUGAGAAUGUUAACCAAUUGUCAACAUGGAAACCAUGCCAAUCCUGUCAUGAAGUUUGUAAAAUUUGAGACAGGAAGAUUCAGAAGCAAAGACAGAACCAGAAGUAGAAGCCUAAAGAAAGAGUUAUUUAGAAAUUAAAGAAAACCAAUCAAUCUUAUAUCAAAUCAUGAUGGUGAGGCUGUUCAUGCUAUUUCUUAUUCUAGACAAUUCUUCAAGGAAGACUAGUACAUGACAUAAACAUACCUUGUUUGUCUUGACUUCAGAAGGAAGCCUCAAGGAUUUGCAGAAUGAAACUUGAAGAAUUUUUGAACAUUUUUGACUGUUCAGGGCCUUACUCAGCUCCAAAGGUACUUGAGGUUUCAUUUUUGCUUCCUGUUGCAAAUCAUUCAACUCUUGUUAUCAGCUUGGGUGGAGUACUUAAUUCUAUCAUAUGCUAGGUGCUUCGCAAAAGAAAGAUAAAUUUGAGUUUCCUUCAUCAGAAGACUUGAUGCAGAAUGAACAUUUAAAGAAACAUUCACAGGCGUACACACCAUUGGGACGCUUUUAUCCUGAACUGUAACUCCUGGAGAAGUUGGACUGGGCCCAAUGCCGAGCUGCACAGUAUUACAACCAAUAAGCAGAAUGUACUUUUCUUGCAAAAUGUAGAAACAAAUUUUAAUUUCUGACCUUUUGCAAUGAUUCAGAUAGAUACCCAGUAGAAUCAAAAGAUUUAAACUUUGAUUUCUGGAGCAAUUGACAGCCAACAUCAUUUGCCAAGAUUUUGAUCUUAUUUUCGUCAGCAAAAGUGGCCAGGAGACUGCCUUGCUUGUUGAAGCAAACAUAAGGGGUUUCCUUAAAAAUAGAGAAGCAGCCAGAAAAGUAAAUCAAAGCUCCUACAUAUCAAUGAUAUCUGAAAAAUAAAAACACAAUUAACUACAUAAGACUCCAAACAUGAAUAAAGCUCAUACUGGUAACCCUCCAUCUGCAUCGACAACGUUUAAAACUUGAGCAUUGUCCAUGUCCCAAACUUUGAUUAGGUGUUCAUCACCUGCCACCAAAAACUGGUUUCUGCUUGUGCUGAAUUGGACUACACCGGCCGAAGGUUUGCUGAGUCCAUGGUAGAACCUAGUUAUAUAACCUUCAGUCUCGUUCCAUUCUACCAUGAAUGAUUCUCCAUCCUUAUUUGUCCCACAUGAAAAGAGCCUGAGACGGUUUCAAAAAUACAGUCAGGUGAACAAUUUGACUAAAAACAGUGUAUGGUUCAAGGAGGUUACCUUUUACCAUCAGCACCAUAAGCCAUUCUCAUGCAAGAAUUACCAGGUGCAUCAUAUGCUACUCUUGCUCCCAUAUUUUCAAAUAACCAUGCUUUAAUCUCACCAUUUGUUGAUGUGGAAAGUAGGAGCUGUUGCAUGUUAAGCAACACAAAAUUAACUAAAUCAACAGAAAAGAUAAGUAAAAUUUGAUAACAAAGGGAGAAAUAAAGCGAGUCUUGACAUUAUAAGGUGGAACCCCAUACAUGGAUAUCCUCUUUGACAUGGGGGCAUAUUGAGUAAACCGGAGCACUAUGGCCUUCAAAUGUAUAGUGUUUGGAUCCACUCUUAGUAUCCCAUACCUUGAAUUAACAAUCAUAACCAAUUUGUUAUAAAUCAUGCAUGGUACAAUUUUAACAAUUAACUACUUAUGGAGAGUAUAUCUACCCGAAUGGACAUGUCAUCCCCACAGGUUAUGACAAGAAGUUGAUGAUGAGGCAAAGAGAAUGCGAGAUCAUUUACAGCACCCACAUGAGCAUCAAUCUGGCAAGUCAAAGUCAUUAUCAGAAGCCAAAUUACAUUAAAGCUUUUAGCUGAAUAUAUAAGAGACAUCUACCUCCAGUUGUUUCUCAGCGUAAUUAGCAUUAACAUGAUAGGAAUACAACUGCACGAUGUUUUUGGAGUACGCAACACCUGUUUAUGGAGUCAUUCAAAUUCAGGAAUUCAAUAGAACACUGGACUCAAAAUGGGCAGAUAUAGAAAUUAGUUCCUAUCCUGUCCACUUACCAAAGACUGAUCCAUCUGGGCUCCAUAAUACACGAUUAACUGACAUAUGUGGAUCUUUAUCUAGAUCAUUCUAGUGAUGAAAGAACAAGAUUCCGGAUCAGAAUCUUAAGCUCACACCAAAAUGAAUGAUAAUAUGUGCAAAUAAUGAUCUUAGGGUCAUUUUACCAGUAACAACAUUGAGAUGGCCUCUCUGUUCCAAAUCAUAAACGCAUUUCCAAACAACUUUACUUCAGAAGAGAUAUCCCACACUUCCACAUCCCCAAUACAAUUUCCAACUGGGAAACAAAGCAGUACAUAUAAGUUCUGGUGGAACAGAUGCAUCAGAGCAGAGAAAACACUUUCAAUAAUAAAAGUUUAUAUGUACGAAUGAACCUAAUAGAGUAGAAUCUUUAGCAGGAUGAAAGUCCAUGCUAAAAGUUUAUAUGUACGAAUGAACCUAAUAGAGUAGAAUCUUUAGCAGGAUGAAAGUCCAUGCUGCUUGGGGAGGAAUUCAUGUCCAUGCAACGCUCAACAGUAUUGGGGAAGUCAGCAGGAAGCCUAAAUUUUAAAUGUUGCCUUUGCAUGGGAAUACUUCUCUGUGGCACCAUCUGUAUUAGCGCAAAUACAAAAAAGGAAAAAAAUCGUGAUGACUAAAUGUAUAAUGAUAGCAAAGAUGGCAAAGAAAGUAUAUCAUAUUCCAAGUUCUCGAAAGUUUGAUGGAAGGAGGUGUCCAGCAAUAUUUAUUGAUGACAAUGAUAGCCAGAAUACUCUAAAAAAAUUAAUCACCUUAUGUAGCAACGUGCUGCGACUUAUUUGGGAUGCAUUACCAGAACCUUUAACACCUUCCAUUGUCACUGAGAGAAGAUAACAAUUGUCAAGCAGAAAAUUGUCUAAGUAUCUGGAACCAAUUAAACUGAGACAAUGAACGUAAAGCAUACCUGGGUUUGUAUGAUGUCCAAGGCUGUGAGUUCCCACAUAUAUUCUAGAUUCAGAUGGGCAAACAAUGGACUUUCCAGAUAAUGUUGUUAGUGAUGCUGACAGCGCUUGAGAGGGCUGAAAGGGGAAAAAACAGACCAUAACACAUGAAGCUUACAAGAAGUGACCACAGAAUAUGAUGAAUGCAAUUUCAGUCUUCAAAUGGAGAGUUACCAAUGGGUUUUGCCCCUUGGGUUCACCAGAACACUUAUGGUCAAAAAAGAGGGUUUGAAUUUGAGGUUCUGACUGAGGAUACGUACAUUGUAUAUGCUGCCAGUUCAAGCUGUAUGUUUAAAUGAAAUUGCAUCAUUCAAUAAAUCAAAGCACAUAAAAGAAUUGAAUAGAUAUUUCAAAAUACUGAAAACAGAAUCAAUUCAGAUGUGCUUUUCGAAAACUGGACACGGUAAAUAACUGCUAACACAAAAGAAGGGCAUAGAAAGCAAAACCACAAAUGCAACAGCCAAGUAUCAAAGGAACACCGAACAAGAAGGUGAUCACCUCUGGUUGAUUAGGCGGCGAAGUCUUGAAUUCUCAAUUUGGGGACUCUCUAGCUUUCUGUGAAAAUGGGGAUUUGCUUCAACAAGAAGUCUAAUUUCAUCCAUUAUUUGCCUUCUAGCAGAGAUGGCAUCCCCAUAUGAGGAAAGGGAGUGAUGGUUCCUGGUGUUUUCAGAGGUGGUUAGUGCUUAUCACAGAUAUUUUACCACAGGCACAAGUCAGAAUACCAUCAAAAUCAAGUCCAAACCUGAAGUCAUCCAUCGUCAGCAGCAAAGUCAUUUCCUUGUACAACUCUGCAUUUGAUGGGGCGAAGAUUUUCAGAUCUUUCAAGAGGAUGUCUACAGCCAGGGCUACGUCAUCCCUGUAAAGCCAAUACAUGUAUUUGUACCAAUGACAUCAAUUAUACUCUGCAUAAACAGUUUAGACAAAAUUUCAGAAAUGAUGACCAUACUUAUCCAGCGCCUCAAAGAACUUCUGCUUUCUAAUUUCAAAAUACAUCUUUACUGAAUACUGGUUAUCUUCGACUGCAGUGAAACCUGAUAUAUAUGUCUCUGCUUCAUCCCAUUUACCAUUUAUCACCAGCUCUUCUAGAUAAUUCAUAUCAAAGAAAAAACCAGUCUCCUGCUCCAGCCUAUUCAAUGUAUAUAUUUACAAAAUAAAGAACUUGAACAGAAAUUGAAUAGUUGAAUUCCGUAAUCGUAAUGUAAUUUAGAAACUGAGAUUCGAUGCUAAAAUUGAAACUCCAGAAAACUCACAUGUGAGCAGUUUUCUGGAGUUUUUCUUCAUGACAAAACUGUCGGAUCAAAAAGAGAAGGUCUUUACUGAGGGACAUUGCCAACUUCCCUGAAUUCUCCUUCAAAACCUUGCAGUUAAAAAAAAAAAUUCACACACACACAAACAGACAGCAGGCUCUGUAAAAAAGCUGUAGAUGUAGGUAAGCAAAUGCAAAAGUGGACACACUCACCAGAAGUAAUGAACAAAAGAAGGAAUUCACAGAAAUGGAGCAAUCAUACAAAUGGAGAUUAGGAUUGCUAAACUUCUACCAAAAUUGUUAAGAAUCAUAAGGGGAAUUACUUUGUUGGAGAGAUAUCAAAAGGCAAAGAAGAAUUGGCCGCCUUCCUCCAAUCCAGAGCGGUCCUAUGUACAAACCGAACUUCACAUCUACUUCAAUACUAUCAAUGGAAAAGCAUUGACGCAGAGGAACUUAUGCAUUGAGUUUGCGUACAGCAUUUGAAGAAAUUAGUAAAAUGGGACAAAAAGGAGCAAAAAUAAAUCAAUGCAAUCCAACAAAGAAAAGGUCUAAAAGUUCAGUAGAUUACAAAAUCAGGCAUUAAAUACAGAAACCCGUAUACUGCUACAAUAAACAAGUAACCACCUUGGAUUCUCAAAAUUCCGGAAAGCGAAAAUGGAAAAAGAAAUUGAAUUCUAGCAACUGAAAUCAAUGCAGUGGUGGUGGAAUACAUAUUAAUGAGACUAAUAUUAAAGAAUCAACGAAAGAUUUGGUGUCAAUGGAAAAAGAUUAUUGAUCAAAGCCAGAAAAAUUUGUCUAAUUUGGUAUCAAAAUUUCUCGAUUAGCCCCGAAUUAGGAUGUCCGUUGCAAUGAAAGGUAAAGUAGCAGCAAAAGGCACUUUAAAAAAACUCAGGUGAUGAAUGCGCAAAGAAAACUCGAUAAUUGAGAAGGACCCCAUCCUCGAUCCAAGAAAAUGAACUCCACAAAAUUACCAUAUAACUUGGUAUAAAAAAGAAAAUAAAAAUGUGAAUUGUACAUGUACAUUCUGGACUUCUACUCGUCACUUGUGAGAGCAUUCGCUGUAGUGUAAAAUCGACAGAGGCAUGAAAUGAAAGCGACUUGUCCGAGGAUAGACAGGCAUAUCUUCCUUUGACUUAUCAGGUGUUUUUUUAGUGUAUAAGUGCGAGGCCUUAUCAUGCCACGUAGAUCUUUUAAGGCCACGCGUUGACCACUCUCAUUCUCCUUGAUGUCGGUGAGUUUGUCCAAUUAAAUAAGUGCAUUCACCUUUUGGUUGACAGUGGUAUAAAUUUAAUGCGUUGCUGAUUCCGACGAGAAGAUUAUUAGCAGUAUUUUUACUGAAUUUUUAAAUUUUAAGGCCAAUUUCAGCGAAAACUCUUACGUUCAAUUUCGUUUGAGACAAAUUUCAAAUUUAAGUCUUUUGAUUUAAACUUGAGCCUGAAACUUCAAAAGCCCAAAAACUCUAUUUAUUUUGUGAGUUAAGCCCAAAAACCCAAAAAAUAAAUUAAUAAUUAUCCUAACAUUAUAAUUCAAAAUGAAUAACAUUUUUCUUUAUUGUUUAUUAUUUCUUUCCUCAAGAAUAAACAAUUAAUUGAGAAGUAUUUGAUACUAAUAUAUAUUAUGCGAGUAAUAAAUUUAUAAAUCAUUACUUCAGAUAAAUGUGCGAGCGUAACAGAUUUAAGUAUAAAUAUAAUGUUGAAUAUUCAAAAUCCAAUAUUAUUUAUUUUGUAUAGAUUUUUGAAAUUAUUUCAGUUUUUAGUGAAAAUAAAAUACAAAAUUUGAUAUUUUUUAAUGAGAGUGGAAGCAUCACAAGGAUCAGUAUAAACAUAAGGAGUGAAUUUUUACAUUUAUAAGUUUGAACGUUGACUUUUGUAGGGAAAAAUUUAUAUGAAAUGACAUCAACUAUGAGCUAUUUAUAUGGUGUAGGCCUAGGUUUGUUUGGACAGCAAUUUAUUUGGCCAAAUAUAUUUGCUUACAUCAUCAUUACAAUUUUCAAUAUACCUUUUUACCUUCCCAAUUAUCUUUUUAUCUUACAUACAUCACAUCACAAAAAAUGCUACAGUAAAAAUAUCUCAAAUAAUUUACAAUCCAAACAGAAAACAUGGUUAUUAUGUACACGACUAUAAUUUCUUACAUAACGACAUAACGUUGUGUGCUUACAAUAUGAGAUUUUACAAAUACAAUAAGGUUCUAAGGAUGAGGUUGAGUGUUACAUACCUAUCAGGAUUAUCAAUGAAUUGGGUGGGAUAAGAAUAUGUGUAGUAGCGGAAUCAGGAUCUAUAUUUAGCAGGGGCAUCAUUAUACACCUAAAAUGAUGUUAUUAUGUAAAGAAAAUUUUGAUUAAAAAUAAAUUUUAUAUUAUGAGUUUUCUGCAUUUCGAAAGGAACCAGGCUACUCUUUAAUAGCUUUUGAAAAAUUCGUAUGGUAGGAGAGAUGUCCAAAAAAAAAAAUGAUUAUUUAAGGAGGUAAUAUAAAAAGAAUGGAAAUUUCUUAUAACAUAGGGGGCAAUAUAAAGGGAAAAAGAUAUUUUCUAAAAUUGAAGAGGCGCAAUUAUAAUCAAAACAUAAAAAUGUGUAAAAGUUUCAAGACUGUUCUUUCAAUUUUACAAAGUUAAGGGGGUACAAUUACCCACCUACACAAGGGUAUUAUUUGAAAUAUUAUUUGAAAUAAGUACUGUAGCACUUUUUGUGAUGUGAUGUAUGUGAGAUAAAAAGGUAAUUGGGAAGAUAAAAAGCUGUAUUGAAAAUUGUAAUGAUGAUGUCAGCAAAUAUAUUUGACCAAAUGAUCUGCUGUCCAAACAAAAAUGUGUUAAUUUUUGAGGAUGUUUAUUAAUUGCUAACUUGUGUAUUUUGUUAGUAAAAUACUAUUGAACCAUUCAAUGAUUUAAAUUUUUGUAUCAGAUUGUAUGCACAGCCAACUCCUGCUAGUUAUACAUAUAUGAUUUAGUUACUAGAUCUAUCUGAAUAUCGAAUUAAAAGUAUUUCGAAACAUGGUACAUUUCCGAUGGACUAUGAGCAAAAGCAAUAAAUUCAAUUUGUGAUACACAAAUGUCAAGAUUGGUGGCAAUCAAUUCAUUUUGAACUUUUAUUUUUUGUUAUAUGAUAACAUGAUAAUCAACUUGUUAUAAGUGGAUAUCGUAUUAAAAUUAUUUUUCAAUUAUUGAGUCGAUAUCAAACCAAAGAUUAAUAAUGCCGACAACAAGUUCAAGAUAAUUAAAUAAGUACUAGUAACUGAAAUAAAAAACAAUUAAUUCUUUUACUUUAUAUAUCCAAGGAGUAAAAUAUGUUAGGAAACAUGAAUAAUGCACGUACAGAUUUUCAUCUAUAUUAUUUUGAAAAUUUAAUGAAUUGUCAAUUUGAUAUAGAUGACUGUUUUAUCCUUUUUGUACUUACCAAGGAGUAAACCAAAGAGUAAGAAUGUCUUGGUGUUAUUUGAUCUAAGGAUGAAAUUAAAUGUAUGUAGAAAACAACAUUCUUAAAAAAGAAAAAGAAAGAAAAUUCUAAAAGGUCCUAAAGUCCACUAGUUCCUCCCAAGUACCAACCCAGAGAAAAUUCAUCGCGUAAACUAGAAUUUUAUCACAAUCCAAAUCAACUAUUUGACAAGUUCAGUAGUUGGUCUUCGACCAAUAAAUAUAAUCCAAAUAAAAUUGUUUUUUUUUUAGGGUUUCCCGCAGGGAAUGGACCCCGCAGACCAAUCCCCUGUCCCUCGCAAUUUGCUGGCAGCGAGACUCGAAUCAGGGACAACACCCCAUCUUCAGCAGCCCAUGCCACCAGACCAAGCCCCGGGGGCUCCAAAUAAAAUUGUUGAACCCACUAAUUUGACAUUAAAUUACAAUCUAAAUAAGAUUGUGGCCAUUAUUUGUUCAAUUGACAAUAUUAUUUCAUUGGCCAAAGACUAACCACUAGAUUUGCAUAGUAGACCCUGUUUGGCAAAUAAGUUUUUUAGAUGUUUGUCUAAAACUUUACUGUAACUUAUUGUAGAAGUUGUAGAAAAAUUUUUAAAGUGUGUCAAUUUUUGGAUAUUUUAAAGUGUAUAGUUUAAAAAUUUUGAAAUUUUUUUUAAGAUUACUGUAACUAAAGUUAUUAAAAAACUUAUAGUAGACAAAUUUGGCUAAAACUUGCUUGCCAAACAAGGCCGUAGUUGGUCUAGACCCUAAUAAAACUUUUCGAAUAAAACAAGAUGACUUUUCCAAAAAGUUGACUUCCAUGAAAGCCCAUUGAUAUCUUUCAGAAAUUCUUGAAUGUUGGGCUUAGACCUUCACAGAACCAAUAGAAUGGAAUAUCAAACAUCCACUUAGGCCUAGUUUGAGAGUUUAGGAGGGAAGAGAAAUAAAAGAAAGGAUAGGCUAUGAAAUAAAAGAAAUGAUUAGGGAUGGCAACGGGGCGGGAUUGGGGCGGGGGACCCCUCCCCCAUCCCCGCCCCGCUGCCUACAAACUCCCCCCGCCCCCGCCCCGUCCCCUGCCUCCCACUCCCCCCGCCCUGCCCCAGCCCCGCCCCCGCCCCGCCCCGCUUCCCCACGGGGGCACCCGCGGGGUUAAUAAAAUUUUAUUAUAGUUAAAUUUUAAUAAAUAAUCAAGUACUAAAAUAUCAACACAUCAUCAAAUUAUUAUUCAUUUUAAUUUUACAAUUGAAACUCAUAAAUACAAUCAAACAAAAAUUAUUUGAAUACAAUCCAACAUGAUGAAAUAAAUACAACUAAAAUAGUUAAGUUUUCACUUUUGGUACAAAUACAAUCACUAAUUCAUUAUUGUGUUUGUGCUUUUUUUUUUUAGAAAAAAGUGUUAUUUUAUUAAGUGUAAUUAGAAAUUUAAGUAUAAAUGUAUUAGUAAAUUUAGUAUAACUAAUUAAUAAAUUCUAUUAGUAGAAAUGUCUAAUUAUUCGUAUAAUUGAUAAUAUCAAUUAUAUUACAUAUACUAAUAUACAUUAUAUAAUACAUCUAACUAAUACUAUCAUUAUCAUAAGUUUAUAACUAAUUAAAUUACAUAUUAUAUAUAAUUAUAUAUAUAUAUUUUUUGCGGGUGGCGGGGCGGGGGAUGGGGCGGGGGUAUACUCCCCCGCCCCCCGCCCCGUUUCUAAACUGGGGGGAAAAAUUCCCCCCCGCCCCCGCCCCAACCCCCGCCCCCGAGGGCCCUCCGCGGGCACCCGCCCCCAUUGCCAUCCCUAGAAAUGAUGUUGAUUGGGAAAUUAGGGGGUAAAAAGGAAUUUUCUAACUCAUUGCUAAUUAUGAUGUUAUUAUUUAAUAUUUCAUAGGUAAAGUUGGCAUUUUAAGAAAGUUCAUAAAGCUUAGUUGAAGUUUCCUUCCAUUUUCUUCAAUUUUGAAGAGAAAAUUUUUGUAACUGGUCUAUCUUCCAUUUUAUUUUAUUUUCUUCCUACUUAAAACUAGUAGUCGCAAUUCCUAAAAUGACACGUAAACACAAAUUACACAACAUUGAAAAAAUCUAAAUGAAACACGGUACGAUACGAAAUAAUUUAUGCCAAGAAUGGAUCGACACAAACACGACACAGUAAUCAGAAUAGGUUGUAAUGGAUCAACCCGUGGGUUGACACGAUUAACCUAUUUUUCACAUGUUAAUAAUUUUGAAGAAAUGCUAUUUGCUUCCUUCCUAAUAUUACACCAAAAAUAAAUUAUUUUAUGUUAAAUUUUAAAGUGUAAGAACUAAAAUAAUAUAAUUAACUUCUUAUACAAAUAAAUAAACAACAAGUAAAUUCAGACUCUACAAAUUCACAUAUGCAACUUUUAUAAUUUUAAUUUUUCACCUCAUUCGUUCAUUAUUCUUAUUUUCUCAAAUUGAUGAACAUAGAUAGCCUCUAUGAUUUUAAUUUUUCACUUUCGGCCUUCAUUCUUCAUUGCUCAAAUAGAUCAAUACUUGCAUUUGGAUCAAAUAUUGCUUAUAUUUUCCUCUUUUCUUUGUGAUUAAAUAUCUUUUAUAGGUAAACUUUAACACUACACCACAAAUUUUCUAUUGUAUUUGUCAAAUUUUUUUUUGAAUUUUCUUGUUUAUAUUACUCUUCUAUUGCAUUGUUUUUGCUAUCUUUUUCUUUCUAAAGUUUUUCUUUUUUUGUGAAAAAAACAAAAUAGACUUUUUUUUGGAUAUUGUUAAUGAGAUAAUAAUACAUUCAAAACUUAUAUCAGUAAAAUUCAAUGAAAAGUUAUAAUCAAAAGAGAUUAAGAGAACACCGCAUAAUUUCUUGAAAGAGAACCAUGUUUUAUUUUUUGACGAUAUUUUAUCUAUAAUUUUCAUAUAAAAAGUUAAAUAGAUCAAGAAUUAAUCUUUCCUACACUGACAGUGUAUACACUAUCAGCGUUGGAUGAAUGACAACUAUGUAAAAUUUGAAUUUGAAAUUUAUUUUUUGCACACAUGUCAUGAAUCGAACGGUGAUAGUGUAUCCACUGUCAGUGUAUAUAAAGAUUUACUCAUAGAUCAAUUGGGUUAAAAUACGACACGACACGAUAUGCCAAUGAAUAAGUUAUACUACGAACACGACACAAAAGCCAAAUGUGUCACACAUGAAUUUGGACUCAUUAACACGAGUACAAAUAUGACAUGACACGACAUGUUGGUUGAUAGUCUUAAUCAAAACUCCCAAAAAAGAUAAAAAAUAAAUAAAAAAUUUAAGCUUCGCUUCUUUUCACCGUAAAUCUCGACUUUCAAAGUAAGACUUAAGAGUCCAGAUAUACAGGGAACACAACUUCAAGGCAUUUGCCAAAACGUGGAUGUGCAAGGAGAAAGGAGAAGAGGAGGCUUUGAUUGCUGGAUUUAAGGAUUUCAUAAGCACCUGAUUAGUUUCUGUACCAUCUUAAAAAUAAUAGCAUUUGUAUUUCAUUUAUACAAAGAUCUAUUGCUAUAUCUACAAUGUAUAGUACUAGAACCAAAGAAAACGUACUUUAAUGUCAUGGAUCAAAAUCCAUUAAUCCUUGCAAGCUUUAAUUGUCCAGAAUUGUGUACAUUGUUGCACAUAAAAUGUUUACACUCAAACUGCAAAAAUGUUAUUUAAACGUUAUCCCAAAAUUAAAUGGUGAUCAGUUACUAGAUCUAAACCCGUGCAUGAAUAAAAGAAGACUUUGUUUACUACAGUAAUUUAUUAUACAUCCGUUUAUACCAUCCAACAAAAUUGUUUAUGUUAAAAAUGUAAAUUUUCUUUUUUUUUUUUUUGGUCAUCUGGCAAAAUCUAAAUUACUCCUAAGCUAACUUAUACUAGAGAGGGUCCAAUUGGAUCAAUGGGAAGUUAAAGGGAGAGGAGCUCACCUCUAAGCCAAUAGGUAUAUUAUUACACUCGUUAGAGACUUAAUUGCAAGUACCAGAGUCUGAAUCCUUGAGUUGUAAUCUAUAGUUAGGAUUGUAUCUUUAUGAUGUGACUAGUGAGCGAUCAAUGAACUAUAAUUAUGAUUUCUUUAUCAGUUAAUUAAGAAAUAAAAAUUAUUCAAUUAGAAUGAAUCAAUCAUAACACUUUUUUGUCAAUUUAUUAUACCACUUGUGAAAACAACCUAUGACACGUAAGAAGAAAAGUCAAUUGAUUUCUCUUUGUAUAUAAAGCACGAGCAUGAAGUUAAAAAUAAUAAAAAAAAAUUUUUGUUGCUUUAUGGUUACUGGUUAAGUUAGGAGGAAAAUCAUUCAAAAUGUUUUUCACACUUUGCAGUAUGAUUUUUUCGUCUCACUUUUAAAAGUGCAAUUUUACAUCCAUUACAAAUUCACAUUGAUUAAAUUUGAUCCCUAUCAAAGUUUUCGAUGAAUUUUUUGUCGAAAUCCACGAUGUGCCUUGCACGUGAUCAGUUUUAAAGGGAAAAAUUAUCAAAUUAUAUUUCAUAUAAUCCGAUUCAUAUUCUCUCACACUUUACAAAAUGAAUUUUUCAUCAUUUAUAUUUCACAAAAUGAAUUUUUUCAUCCAUUAUUGAUCAUAUGUAUGAAUACCUUUUUUUUAAACCUAUAUAAAUGUUUAUUUGAUUUCGCCUGAACAGUACGAAUAGUAUGUAAUAUGUCUCUAUUUGAUUUUACGUACAACUACAACUAGUUUAUUCAGAUGAAGAGAUAUAUUACAUGCUAAUUGUACUAUUCUGGUGAAAUUAAAUAUAAAUAUACAUGAGUUUUUAAAAACAAGGAAAAACUAUUCAUACACAUGAUCAACAAGUGAUGAAAAAAUCAUUUUGUGAAAUGUGAGAGACUAUAAAUCAGAUUAUAUGAAAUAUGAUUUGAUAAAUUUGCCUCUAUAAAAUGAUCACCUGCAAGACAUGUUAUGGAUUUCAGCAAAAAACUAGUCGAAAACCUAGGUAUAAACUAAAUUUGAUCCACGUAAAUUUAUAAAGAAUGUAAAAUUACACUUUUAAAAGUAAGGAAUAAAAAAUCAUUUUACAAAAUGUGAGAGACGUUGAAUGAUUUUCUUAGGCUAUUUUGCCACCUGCGCAAUGAAUGAAUUAAACUACCACAACCCAUGCAUACUUAUCGAAAACUACCACUUUCAAAAUCGUAACUACCAAUAAUUUCUAUGUAUCUCUUUUUUAUUUAUCCAUUUUUCCUUGAAUAUGCAUGUAAAUUAUGUGUCUUUUCCACCUGUCUUUGCCUUUUUUUUUUUAAAAAAAAGCGUGGGUAUCAUUUAAUGUUAUAAAUAAUGUUAUUUUUUGAAUUAUCAUUUUUAUCCUUACUAUUAAAAUCAUAACAUUCACAAUUCAUUUAAAAAAAUUGAUAUCCCACGAUUAAUACGGUUGCUUUUUUUUUUUUCUUCUUCAUCAAUACCUCCACGUUUAUCUUACAGUAUUUCAAACCAUCCGAAAACUAAGGAAUGUCAAUUAAAAGGUUGAGUUGUAAAUAUCAAUAAAAAGUUGGUUGAGUUGUAAAUACUAAUUAAAUGUUUUAUGUUUUAGACUAGUACCUUCCUCGUGGAGCACACCAGUUGUUUUCAACUAUCACUUAAAAGGUUGAAUGCAUUAAGCCUCUUUGAAUUUUGCCCCCAGUUGUUAUUUACCCCUCUAAACUUAUUAAAUAACCACUUUAUCCCUCAAUUGAUGUUUUAGGAUAAAAGUAUUCUUCAAUGCUAUUUUUUUUUGUAUUUUUUCCUUGUCUCUUUAUCCCAUUUCUUUUUAUUUUUUAUUUUUCAUCCUUUCUCUAAAGUCACAAAAUACUUUUUUUUUCUUUACUAUUACUAUCCAUACAACACUUUCUAUCUUUUUUUUUUUAGCACGAAAGAUGUGUGAUUUUAAGAAGUGGAGGGAGAAAGGGAGAUUUGUAUCUAGAAUCUCUAAUUAUAAUAUUUGUAUCAUCUUAUACUUAUUAUUUGUUUACUUGUAUCUUUUUAACUUUUUAUUAUCAGAACGUAAUAAUGACCACAAAAUCUAUGCUAUAACAUAGUAAUAUAGUAUACAUUAGUUAUGCGCAUAGAACAUUUCAUAUAGUAUUUAAAUAAAUACAUCUAGUGUUUAGAAUUAAUUCAAUAUUAAUAGCAGAAAUAACAAGUAAACAGAUCGUAAUAAGGUCCAUUUCUCCCUUCUCCUCCCCAUUUCUUAAAUCCCACUCCUCCUUUGCUCAUAAGAAAAUUUUAACAAGACAAAAGUAGAUCGCAAUAACACAAUGUGUAAUCAACUAUACAUAAUAAAAAAAUAAAUACAAUACCAGUUACUUUGUUUGCUUGGUAUACAUUCUUAAAGAUUAAGUAAUUCAAAAUUUUUAGUUUGCUAACAUAUGUUUAAAUAGUUAAAUUGCUAACUAUAUAUCCUUUGAUUAUGACAGAUAUAUAGUAUUUUUUCAUACUAUAUAAUUUAUCAUGGAUUUCCUAAUAGUGUAAAUAAAUAAAUAAACUAAAACAAGGAUGAAAUUAUAAGUAAAAGAAAACCACAAUUUCAUAAUAAGCACAAAACUAGUAAUAUUAAUAGGAAAGUAAAUGCAGAAUGACAUGAGAAAAGUGAAAAAGAGGAAAAGGAAGUUGUAGAAAAGAAAAAAAAGAAAUGAAUAAACAGCAAAAAAAAAAAAA
rnacentral:lncRNA from 1 species